UGGGGAAUAUUGGACAAUGGGCGCAAGCCUGAUCCAGCCAUGCCGCGUGAGUGAUGAAGGCCCUAGGGUUGUAAAGCUCUUUCACCGGUGAAGAUAAUGACGGUAACCGGAGAAGAAGCCCCGGCUAACUUCGUGCCAGCAGCCGCGGUAAUACGAAGGGGGCUAGCGUUGUUCGGAUUUACUGGGCGUAAAGCGCACGUAGGCGGACUAUUAAGUCAGGGGUGAAAUCCCGGGGCUCAACCCCGGAACUGCCUUUGAUACUGGUAGUCUUGAGUUCGAGAGAGGUGAGUGGAAUUCCGAGUGUAGAAGUGAAAUUCGUAGAUAUUCGGAGGAACACCAGUGGCGAAGGCGGCUCACUAGCUCGAUACUGACGCUGAGGUGCGAAAGCGUGGGGAGCAAACAGG
rnacentral:rRNA from 1 species